UGCCAUAUUCGGUUUCGCCGAGAAUCGUGAACACGUACGCCGGAAGCAAUGCGGGGUAAUUAUUUGAUUUAUUUCAUAAUAUUAUUUAACAUAUAUCGUGAAAAGUUCUGAAUAUUCGGAUUCUUCUGUUAUCGUUUCAUCGUGUGUUAGCAUUAUCAGCUCUCGGUAUCGAAUUGACAAACAGAAUUUUUCUCAUAGAAAUUCGAUAGUUUACAUUUCACGGGCCCCGUGUUGCACCCGCAUUGCUUUCGUUCCUGUUUCCAACGUAUAAGUGUAGCGUCAGUGAUUCGCGUGACGCGACGUAACCUUCAACGUUUGUUUUUCUCGGUUUAUGCGUUGUGUGUUCGUUUGAAUGAAAAUGUCGCGAGUGUUGUAACAAAAACCACGGAAAACAGAAGAAGAAUACGGGAGCAAAAGGAAUUCCAGGCUACAGCAGAAUGCCCAUUACCCAACAGGGUUUCGUUCCAUGGUAUUUCAACGAGGCGUCGCUGUCGUUGCUGUUGUCACAUACGAGACACAACAAAUCACGAAAUUGACAAAUCACCGGUGAUCUCCUCGAGUCGCAGUUCGAACGUUUCACAAAUAAGUUAAAGUAUUGAACUUUAGAUAUAGUGGUAAAAUUUAUUGCAUGAAUCCAACAGAGUGACGGUUCAGAGUGUCAUAACAAAGAGGCCACUGCAAUGAGAAAGGAAUUCCUGAAGCCAAAAAAAAUGAUACAUCCAAAUAGCAGAAAGUCUAUCGCUAUUACGAAAAAAGCCAAAAAAAUAUCAAAUAGACAGAAGGCAGAAAUGUCCCGCUUGAUAAAACAGAAUUCAAUAGGAGAGAAAAUAUCAUGGAUCAGAAACAAUAUGAUUCCAGGCGUGUGUCCCUAUACUCCAGAGUUAACUGCAAGUUUGUUAGAAACGGAGGUAUGUAGCAAGAAAUGAUGAAGCAAUGGAAGAAAUUACUAUUAAAAGAUCUAUAGGUAGCAACAGGAGUAGACAGCAUGCUAGGAGGGAACAUAUAAUUAGAGUAGAAAGAACUAGGAGAAUAUCAUACACGUGGAAUAGAAAUUUCUGAUAUUUUAAAUGCAACUCAGUGUGAAAUGUUAUUGAAUUGGAAUAAUGAAUUACAGUGUGUGAAUAAUUCUAAAUUUAUAAGGUUUGGCGAGAAAGAUUUAAAGAAAGUAUUAGAGCUAAGACAAAGAAUGAAAAUAAGCCAUAUUAGACUAUUCAAAUCUCUGUUAGCUAUGCCUGUAAACAAGAAGAAUUUAUUAAAUUACUAUUAUAUGAUACCGAGGGGAACUUUGAUGUAUUAGAAGGAUGCUGUGAAAUUCGAAAGGACGGGAUGAAAGUCAAGAGGACACCAUGGUGAUUAACGAUAAAUUUGAUAACUUUUCGUCGAAAUGUGAUAAUAUUUGUUCACUUUUAGAUUAACUCCAUUUCUUAUAAAUAUUUCGUGAUAUUAUCGUAAUUAAUAUCUAAUAUAACAAAUUCUAAAUUCACGGUUUAUUAGAACACCAAGAUGAAAAAUGCAAGAUUAAAGAAAUUAUUUUUUUCUUUCGAA